CUGUCAUAUCACUUUGAAAUAACCGUUCUCGUACGAUCACCGAAGUUAAGCAACGUCGAGCCUGGUCAGUAGGUAGAUGGGUGACCGCUUGGGAAUACCAGAUGAUGUAU